rnacentral:rRNA from 1 species
UACGUAGGGUGCGAGCGUUAAUCGGAAUUACUGGGCGUAAAGCGUGCGCAGGCGGUUUGUUAAGACAGGUGUGAAAUCCCCGAGCUCAACUUGGGAAUUGCGCUUGUUACUGGCAAGCUAGAGUGUGUCAGAGGGAGGUAGAAUUCCACGUGUAGCAGUGAAAUGCGUAGAGAUGUGGAGGAAUACCGAUGGCGAAGGCAGCCUCCUGGGCUAGUACUGACGCUCAUGCACGAAAGCGUGGGGAGCAAACAGG